GAUGAAGAACGCAGCGAAAUGCGAUACGUAAUGUGAAUUGCAGAAUUCAGUGAAUCAUCGAAUCUUUGAACGCAUAUUGCGCUCUCUGGUAUUCCGGAGAGCAUGCUUGUUUGAGUAUCAGUAAACACCUCAACUCCCUAUUCUUUUUUGAAAUUGGAGCUGGACUUGAGUGAUCCCAACGCUUUCUUCCAAGAAAGUGGCGGGUUGCUUGAAAUGCAGGUGCAGCUGAACUUUUCUCUGAGCUAUAAGCAUAUCUAUUUAGUCUGCCUAAAAAACAGAUUAUUACCUUUGCUGCAGCUAACAUAAAGGAGACUAGUUCUUGUGCUGACUGAUGCAGGAUUCACAGAGACAGCUUCGGCUGACUUUGUAAACUCGAUCUCAAAUCAAGUAAGACUACCCGCUGAACUUAAGCAUAUCAAUAAGCGGAGGA
rnacentral:misc_RNA from 1 species